CCCGCUCAGAAACUUAAAUGAAUUGACGGGACCCGCACAAGCAGUGGAGCAUGUGGUUUAAUUCGAUGCAACGCGAAGAACCUUACCCAGGCUUGACAUGCAGAUGACCGCUCUAGAAAUAGAGUUUUCCUUCGGGACAUUUGCACAGGUGCUGCAUGGCUGUCGUCAGCUCGUGCCGUGAGGUGUAGAGUUAAGUCUUCUAACGAGCGCAACCCUUGUCUUUAGUUAAAACCAUUUGGAACUCUAAAGAGACUGCCGGUGUAAACCGGAGGAAGGAGAGGAUGACGUCAAGUCAGCAUGCCCCUUACAUCCUGGGCUACACGCGUAAUACAAUGGCUAAGACAAUAGGCAGCGAACCCGCGAGGGGAAGCGAAUCUAGCAAACUUAGCCUCAGUUCAGAUUGUAGGCUGCAACUCGCCUGCAUGAAGCCGGAAUCGCUAGUAAUCGCCGGUCAGCUAUACGGCGGUGAAUACGUUCUCGGGUCUU
rnacentral:rRNA from 1 species